ensembl:lncRNA
UAGCAUCUCUUUGGAGUGGCACCAAUUUCUGCAUCUUUUUGCCUCUCUGUUCAGAGACUUGAGCCUUUCCAUCUGGUUGAUGCCGUAGACCCCACAGUUCCCUGGUCUUCAGCCUGAAAUGGAUCUCAUGCUGUGCUAGUGCUGCUUUUCUGAACAAAUGCCUCCUGAGGAUUUGUGCACCUGGGAAAUACCUGCCAACGGAUUGCCUUUACACCCUGUAUGAGGAGACUGAGGUACAGAAAGAUAACAUUUACCCAAGGUUGUUCGGGGAGCUCUGGCUCCAGAAGUCUGCAUUUCCCUUCUCUCACCACACUACCUCAUAGAAAAGGGAAACUUAGGAGGAUAAACAGCCAGGAUUUUGUACCUCUAUUCCCAACAUCAAGACCCAAAGGAUCAGAGAAAUUAAAUGAUUAGCCCAGGAUUACAGAGCAGUAAGCAGCACAGCCAGAUCCUGUGCUGCCUGUUCGUCUUCCUGUUUGCUGAAGGCAUCCAGUCUAUGAUCUCUCACAGCUGCCCAUCUCAGAAACCCAUGGAGCCCCAGUCCUUACCUACAGAGAUGAAGAAGCCAGCUGAGCAGCAACAGCUGUGUGCUUGGGGUACUAUUUCAUGAUAAAGGAUGGGUGUGUGUUGGAAUUGCCAAGUCUUUCAGGAGUAAAGUGCUACCAGACAUGAGCCAAACAGCCCGUACCUCCCGGCUGGUUAGCAUCCUCUGACCUCACUUGAAAUCAUGAGCUACAGGCACACUGUCAUAAAAAGAUUGCCCAAUACUCCCAAUAUAAUCGUACAAUGAGGAUGGUAUACCAGGAAAGUUAAAGUUUGUUAAAUUGAUUUAAGCCAAGAGAACAGGUAAGUGAAUGUUAUAUCCAGGGUUAGGAGCUGCGUUUCAUAAGGUG